AUUGAACGCUGGCGGCAGGCCUAACACAUGCAAGUCGAGCGGUUGAGGUAGCUUGCUACCGAAGCAGCGGCGAACGGGUGAGUAAUGCAUGGGAAUCUGCCUGGUAGUGGGGGACAACGUUUCGAAAGGAACGCUAAUACCGCAUACGCCCUACGGGGGAAAGGGGGGGAUCUUCGGACCUCUCGCUAUCAGAUGAGCCCAUGCCGGAUUAGCUAGUCGGGGGGGUAAAGGCCCACCAAGGCGACGAUCCGUAGCUGGUCUGAGAGGAUGAUCAGCCACACUGGAACUGAGACACGGUCCAGACUCCUACGGGAGGCAGCAGUGGGGAAUAUUGGACAAUGGGGGCAACCCUGGUCCAGCCAUGCCGCGUGUGUGAAGAAGGCCUUAGGGUUGUAAAGCACUUUCAGUGGGGAGAAAGGUGAUUCACCUAAUACGUGAGUCAAUUGAUGCUACCCACAGAAGAAGCACCGGCUAACUCCGUGCCAGCAGCCGCCGUAA
rnacentral:rRNA from 1 species